rnacentral:lncRNA from 1 species
UGGGCACAAUGUCUCGUGUGUAAUCCCAGCUCGCAUCUAUAAUUCCAGGCUGAAGCAGGAAGAUCACUUGAGUCCAGAAGUUUUAAGACGAACACAGGCAACAAAGUGAGACCCUUCCCUACAAAAAACAUUCUAAAAACCAAAUAACUAGCCAGGCAUAGUGGCAUAUGCCUGUGGUUUCAGAGGUUAAGGUGGGAGAAUUUCUAAAGCCCAGGACAUUGAAGCUACAGUGAGCUAUGUUGAUACCACUACACUCCAGCCUCAAUGACAGAAAUAAACCCUUUCUCUUAAAAAAUAAAAAUAUAGCACUUUGGGAGGCCGAGGCAGGUGGAUCACGAGGUCAAGAGAUCAAGACCAUCUUGGUCAACAUGGUGAAACCCCGUCUCCACUAAAAAUACAAAAAAUUAGCUGGGCAUGGUGGCACGUGCCUGUAAUCCCAGCUACUCAGGAGGCUGAGGCAGGAGAAUUGCCUGAACCCAGGAGUUGGAGGUUACGGUGAGCCAAGAUUGCGCCAUUGCACUCCAGCCUCGGUAACAAGAGCGAAACUCCAUCUCAAAAAAAAAAUUAAAAAAUAAUAAUAAAAAUAAAAAGGAAAUGCUAGAAAUUGAAACUCUGCAACCAGAAUUUAAAAUGUCCUCAACAGGUUUAUCAGUGAACUGAACACAGUCAAGAACAACAGUCAUUUUGAAGAUACGUCAGUAGAGACUUCCCAAACUACACACAAAGAGAAAAAAUGGGAAAAAGAAGAGAAUAUUCAAGAAUUCUUGUAGCAUGUAGCAUUCACACAAUGGGAAUGCUAGAAAGAGAAGGGAAAAAAAUGCAGGUUCGUCUCCAACUCCUGACCUCAAGGGAUCCUUCUGCCUCAGCCUUUCAAAGCACUGGGAUGUCAGGUGUGAGCCACCACUCCUGGCCACAUAUGCUUCUCUCCAGGAAGAAAAUCUUGAUAAUAAGAGAAGAAUAAGUACAGCUUUGAGACAGGACAAUACCUUCAGGAUAUGAAGGCCAUGAUCAUGUAAAAUUCUCCCUGCUUCAGUGAAAGUCUGUCAUGGAGCCCAUUGAAAUCUCAUCCUUGAUGGCUUUUUGCUCAUUGUGUUUCAAAGUGGACACGUUAGGCCACUGCACCAAGGAGUCUAGCAAGAUUACAUGUUCGUUUCCACGGACACCAAUCAGUAGCAGAAGACAGGAAAUAAACAAGAUCUAAGCAUAAAG